UUGGGGAGACAAGAGACUGGGGGAACGGGUCCAUACAGAGUGAGGUAGAUUGGGGAGAGAAGAGACUGGGGGAACGGGUCCAUACAGAGUGAGGUAGAUUGGGGAGACAAGAGACUGGGGGAACGGGUCCAUACAGAGUGAGGUAGAUUGGGGAGAGAAGAGACUGGGGGAACAGGUCCAUACAGAGUGAGGUAGAUUUGUGAGAGGAGAGACUGGGGGAACGGGUCCAUACAGAGUGAGGUAGAUUGGGGAGAGAAGAGACUGGGGAACGGUUCCAUACAGAGUGAGGUAGAUUUGUGAGAGGAGAGACUGGGGGAACGGGUCCAUACAGAGUGAGGUAGAUUGGGGAG